rnacentral:rRNA from 1 species
UACAGAGGUCUCAAGCGUUGUUCGGAUUCAUUGGGCGUAAAGGGUGCGUAGGUGGCGCUGUAAGUCGGGUGUGAAAUUUCGGAGCUUAACUCCGAAAACUGCAUUCGAUACUGCCGUGCUUGAGGACUGGAGAGGAGACUGGAAUUUACGGUGUAGCGGUGAAAUGCGUAGAUAUCGUAAGGAAGACCAGUGGCGAAGGCGGGUCUCUGGACAGUUCCUGACGCUGAGGCACGAAGGCCAGGGGAGCAAACGGG